UAAUACGUAGGGCGCAAGCGUUGUCCGGAAUUAUUGGGCGUAAAGAGCUCGUAGGUGGCUUGUCGCGUCGGAUGUGAAAGCCCGCAGCUUAACUGCGGGUCUGCAUUUGAUACGGGCAGGCUAGAGGUAGGUAGGGGAGAACGGAAUUCCUGGUGUAGCGGUGAAAUGCGCAGAUAUCAGGAGGAACACCGGUGGCGAAGGCGGUUCUCUGGGCCUUACCUGACGCUGAGGAGCGAAAGCGUGGGGAGCGAACAGGAUUAGAUACCCUGGUAGUCCACGCUGUAAACGUUGGGCGCUAGGUGUGGGGAUCUUCCACGAUCUCCGUGCCGGAGCUAACGCAUUAAGCGCCCCGCCUGGGGAGUACGGCCGCAAGGCUA
rnacentral:rRNA from 1 species